rnacentral:lncRNA from 1 species
AGCAAAGCAGCGUCAGAAAAGCAGUCAACCACAAAAGUUUACGGACCACGGGAUCUCAGAAAACGUUCAAUUUCCCAGCAGCCUGUAACAGUAGUCAGUGAAACCGAACAUCCCGAUGUUGUUCACAUAUACUGGUAGAGGCUGUAAAUACGAAUACUAGGUUGCGUCGCGAGGCUGAACAGAUGUUCAGCUUGUUCUCAGAUCUCCUGUUCUGUAAAAUUUUGUGGUUGACUGUAGGUGACGGCACAGGCAGACGGGUCGCAGCUCCUUCGUUCGCGUCUUUUGCGGGUGUCUUAAUGAACGUCCUCAUUUGCUAUUUCGGCAAUAAAUAUUAUUGGGUGGAAAUUUUUCGGUGAUAUCUAACUUGUUACAAGGCUUCUACAGCAGGACGUAGAUCUGCCCCGCUGCUCUGGCGCGACAAGGUUCCGCAGGGUUCGUUUCUUCGGAAAUGAGGAAGCUGACAAAGUUGGUGAGCUGUAAUGAUUUGCAUUUAACGUGGGCAGCCAAGUCGCACUGGGACACUCGCAGGCCAUCGCCGCCAGACGCAGUGGACCCCGAAUGCACAAAGAGUCUGUAUACGGACGGCUGCCUUCGGAGCUGCUCCUGCGACGCCGCUUUCGGGGCAGCUCGUCAUUCGGGCCACGCUGGCACCCCGAACGACAUGGCUGCUGGGUGAAGGAGAAAGGUGGCGGAGAAGAUUACAAUUCGGGAAGUGAAGACAAGAGGCUCAGUGCAAUUAUGGCUGAUUUUGAACGAAAUGACUUUGAACCUAGCCUAACCUAACCUAACAUAACCUAACCUACUCUAACCUAAUGAAUGAAUAAAUUUGUAAGUACAUGAAACCAAUGCAUUAAUUUUUAACGGUCUCCAAUCGAGAGUCCGUACACCGCAGCUUUUAACGACAAGUUGCUUAUACUCGUAUAUGUCUAUGGCGUGCUGAGAGAAAACUUACGUGAUGCUGGGUGGCAGCCGAUACUUGAAUACAUAACGAAACACAGAGGGACCUUGCCGAACAGCUUAUUAUUCUUAAACUUAACAAUUUAUACCUUAUGCCUGACGGCUCGCCCUGGCCUACUGUAUUAAUACAGCCGACAGCACAGUCCGCCGCUCGCGAUGGAUCUUGGAAGCACAAGAUACAUACAGUUUUGGUGCUUCUAAACUCGGAUGCAGCUUGUGCCAAUGAAAAUUAGUCAUCAUAGCUUUCAGGCAGCCAUCGAUGAGUGCUGUUGGUCAGUUCGCUCAAAGAGCACUUAGUCAGGACAGUAAGCAGAGCUCUGUUGCUGUCCUUCCAAAUUAUUUUUUUCCUUCCAGAUUACAAUUUACGUCGUCAACAGUAAGGGCAGAGGCUCGGAGAAAGUUGCUGCUAGUAAUGCAACAGCUUAAGUCACUUGCGUUCACACGAUAGGAAUUUAGACG